rnacentral:rRNA from 1 species
UACACUCCUACGGGAGGCAGCAGUGGGGAAUAUUGCACAAUGGGCGCAAGCCUGAUGCAGCGACGCCGCGUGGGGGAUGAAGGCCUUCGGGUUGUAAACUCCUUUCGCUAGGGACGAAGCUUUUUUGUGACGGUACCUAGAUAAGAAGCACCGGCUAACUACGUGCCAGCAGCCGCGGUAAUACGUAGGGUGCGAGCGUUGUCCGGAAUUACUGGGCGUAAAGGGCUCGUAGGUGGUUUGUCGCGUCGUCUGUGAAAUUCUGGGGCUUAACUCCGGGCGUGCAGGCGAUACGGGCAUAACUUGAGUGCUGUAGGGGUAACUGGAAUUCCUGGUGUAGCGGUGAAAUGCGCAGAUAUCAGGAGGAACACCGAUGGCGAAGGCAGGUUACUGGGCAGUUACUGACGCUGAGGAGCGAAAGCAUGGGUAGCGAACAGGAUUAGAAACCCUAGUAGUCCCAUUAU